UCCGGUUUGUCACCGGCAGUCACCUUAGAGUGCCCAACUGAAUGAUGGCAACUAAAGACGAGGGUUGCGCUCGUUGCGGGACUUAACCCAGCAUCUCACGACACGAGCUGACGACAGCCAUGCAGCACCUGUGUGUAGGUCCCGUAAGGGAAGGAAACUGCCUCCAGUAACCGUCCUACCAUGUCAAACGCUGGUAAGGUUCUGCGCGUUGCUUCGAAUUAAACCACAUGCUCCACCGCUUGUGCAGGCCCCCGUCAAUUUCUUUGAGUUUUAACCUUGCGGCCGUACUCCCCAGGCGGAUGACUUAACGCGUUAGCUGCGCCACCGAAGCUCUAAGAGCCCCGACAGCUAGUCAUCAUCGUUUACGGCGUGGACUAC
rnacentral:misc_RNA from 1 species